UAAGGUGAUUAUAGCGAUAGGGCUCACCUCUUACCAUUCCGAACAGAGAAGUUAAGCCUAUUAGCGCCGAUGGUACUACAUUUGUGGGAGAGUAGGUCGUCGCCUUUU
rfam:Lacinutrix sp. 5H-3-7-4, complete genome.